rnacentral:lncRNA from 1 species
AUUCUCACUCCCAACUCGUCAUAUACUGACGCUUGGUCAGGAACCCUCGGCGUAGGUUAUUGACGCACAGGGUACCCCUUUAGCGUCACAUUUAGACGUGCAGGGAUUCCCUAUAGAAUCUGUAACGUUACCUGAGCCUGAAGCGUCAUAGGGAGACGCUGGAGGCUCGUAUAAUUACCAAUAGAUGUCAACGCACUUUUUAAAACCUGAUUUACGCCUAUUAUCGCAGUUUUCUUCUUUUAAAAAUAUGUAAUUUUUAUUUUGUUCAUGAAAAGCGUCUGUAAACUGGGUCGAAACUACUGUAUGAAUAAACUUCGGUCCACGUGACAUCCCUUCACGUCUAUGCUCGCUAUCCCAAGGUUCAUUGCGAUCCCAAGGUUCACUGCGGUUUUCCACAAGCCUGUUUCUGCCUAUCACCAUGAGUGAUUCCUUGAUACUCAUAUUUAUCAUCAAGAUCUCAAUUAUAAGCUCAAGUCUUGAUGACAACUUGAUGAUCUGCAGGAAGCACCACCAUGUAUAGAGGGCAAAGACCACUCUGGAAUCAGUCAAGGCUCAUAGGAACUCCAAUCUUCCCAACUGUGAGAGGGCCUUGCUCCAGUGACUGUUGGUGAAAUGGAGUGAGGCAUACAAGGAUAUGUGUGGUUUUACUCUUGGGAAGGAGGUUGAACAGUGCAAUAUUUCUUCUAUAGGAUUGCAGUGACCAGACAUGCUACUGUAACUCUCAUGGUCAUGUGCUGGAAUUAGCAGAUAUUCAACAAUUUGGCCAUCUUGCUGACCUAUUGAUAUCAGAAGACCACAACAGCUCUGCAAAGCAAGUUGGAAAACAGAAUCCAUGAAACUGGCAGUGACCGGAAACCAGUUAGAAGACUUUGGUCUGUGACGUAGAGGAGUGGGCAGACGCAGAAGCAAAGACGACAAACAACAGAAGUGAUAUGGAUGUCUUCGUCAUAUGGCAUGACUCUGCUGACCCAGCAACAAAGAGGAGGGUGUUCAACAUCAUCCUGCUAGUCAGGAUUCUUCAGAAGCAGUGGAUUCUUGUGGCAGAGAUGGCCAACCACUAUAAAUACAUUUCAACUCAUCCUGGUUCCUUCAAAGAACUUUCCUGCUUGUUUGCUACUGAAAAAUUCGACAUGUGGCCUAAACGAAGAGGGGUUAAAAGGUCUAUGGAUCAUCAUUCUCAGAAAGCAACAAAAUAACUGAGAAAUAAACAACAAUACGAUGGUGCAAUCUAGAGACCUACAAGGUACCUGCAAGUUUUGGCUGGAGCAGAGAACAUACAUAUUUUAAAUAAAGCUCCAGCUGAUGAGUUUGACAUUGACUGUGGAUUUUCUUUUACUGUAAUCCAGAAGAGGAUGACCUUAACCCUGAAUCUAAAGCAUGUAAUAAAAUCUGUAAAAAUAAAAUAAAAUUUUCAUCAUCUAUAAC